CACGUAGGGUGCGAGCGUUGUCCGGAAUUAUUGGGCGUAAAGAGCUCGUAGGCGGUGUGUCACGUCGGCCGUGAAAACCUGCAGCUUAACUGUGGGCGUGCGGUCGAUACGGGCAUCACUGGAGUUCGGCAGGGGAGACUGGAAUUCCUGGUGUAGCGGUGAAAUGCGCAGAUAUCAGGAGGAACACCGGUGGCGAAGGCGGGUCUCUGGGCCGAUACUGACGCUGAGGAGCGAAAGCAUGGGGAGCGAACAGG
rnacentral:rRNA from 1 species